rnacentral:rRNA from 1 species
AGUGAACGCUGGCGGUAGGCCUAACACAUGCAAGUCGAACGGCAGCACAGUAAGAGCUUGCUCUUACGGGUGGCGAGUGGCGGACGGGUGAGGAAUACAUCGGAAUCUACUUUUUCGUGGGGGAUAACGUAGGGAAACUUACGCUAAUACCGCAUACGACCUACGGGUGAAAGCAUGGGAUCUUCGGACCUUGCGCGAUUGAAUGAGCCGAUGUCGGAUUAGCUAGUUGGCGGGGUAAAGGCCCACCAAGGCGACGAUCCGUAGCUGGUCUGAGAGGAUGAUCAGCGACACUGGAACUGAGACACGGUCCAGACUCCUACGGGAGGCAGCAGUGGGGAAUAUUGGACAAUGGGCGCAAGCCUGAUCCAGCCAUACCGCGUGGGUGAAGAAGGCCUUCGGGUUGUAAAGCCCUUUUGUUGGGAAAGAAAAGCAGCAGGUUAAUACCACGCUGUUCUGACGGUAACCAAAGAAUAAGCACCGGCUAACUUCGUG